CAAUCAAGACCACAACUGCCCUUUCGAUUUUUUAUCAAGGCAUUUCUCAUGAUACACAUAAGGCAAUAAAAGAGUUGGAUAAAAAAGAAUCUUAAUUUGUUUUCUGUGGGUGUUUGUUACAUGGGAAUGUGGAUAUUUCAGAUCCGUUUGAAGAGUGCCUAUGUUUAGCAUUUUCCACAUGUUAUCAUGUCUUGCAGUGU